UACGAAGGGGGCUAGCGUUGCUCGGAAUCACUGGGCGUAAAGGGUGCGUAGGCGGGUCUUUAAGUCAGGGGUGAAAUCCUGGAGCUCAACUCCAGAACUGCCUUUGAUACUGGGGAUCUUGAGUACGGGAGAGGUGAGUGGAACUGCGAGUGUAGAGGUGAAAUUCGUAGAUAUUCGCAAGAACACCAGUGGCGAAGGCGGCUCACUGGCCCGGUACUGACGCUGAGGCGCGAAAGCGUGGGGAGCAAACAGG
rnacentral:rRNA from 1 species